UAUUCAUUUCACACACUCUCUCACCGGUCAGAGAGGCGAGAGAGCAUGAGAAAUGAAGAUA
rfam:Pristionchus pacificus strain PS312 contig2678, whole genome shotgun sequence.